CUUGGCUACAAGUGUGGUACUAAACAAACAAGCUUACCUGUUCUUUGUUUUAAGUGGUCUGGAGUAAAACAGAAUAAGACUGCCAGCAACAGCUUAGUUGUGGUGAACUGUAUGUCACUAAGACCUCUGUGCUGUAAAACUUUACAACCCUAAUAAGAUUAGAAAAAAAGAACCUGGUAAUGAGAGGCCGUCUCUGUAGGCUAGGCAGUUUCCAGGAAAUGAGGUCACAAGCAAGAUGAAAUUAUUUCUGAGAAAUUAAGGUGUGCAUUUCUUCCAUUCUUCUUUACUUUGCACCUAACUCAUGCUCCCAAUCUCCUAUCUAUUCACAGAAUGUGAGUGAAGUGGGUAGUUCCUGAAAGCAUUACAAGGUAGAAAAUAUCCCUAUUUUUGCAAUUGCUCCUGGCAUUAACUGUCCAACUUUUUCGUCUCGUGGAAAAAAAUGGAAAAAAUGAGUGAUUUUAUGCUGGAGCCUUGGGUGUGCAUGAUUCAUGAGUUGAAUUUCUUGGUAUAGAGUCCCUCAGGUUGAGAAUGACUGGAUUGCUCUGCCCAGCCUGAACUGACAUGCAAAGCAGUUGCGAUGCCAAAGCAGCAACACCAAAGCUUUUUGCCUGGAGUAGGAUUUGUUGUGACAUAACUGGUUAGUCAAGCUUUGAAAAACAAGCUAGAAGCUUAAUUUCCCUUGGCAUAUUUCUUUAUUUUUUUAUUUCUUUAUUUUAUUUUAAUUUUUUGCAUUGGCCUCUUCAUACCAUCUGGUGUCGCAGUAUACCUUGUGCUACAAGUCCUUCAACAAACUACAGCAAAAGAACUGGGCAGAAAGUCAUGUCAAGGUGGCUGCUUUCAGAAUUCAUUUCUGAUAUUGCAUUUAAAGCAUAUAAAAAGACAGAAGAUUGGAAUGAAAAGAUUUAUCUUUAACUCUCUUUAUCUUCAGUAACAUACAAAUGGCUAUAGAAGUUUGCAAGUCUAUAGGCCUGUUAUUCAUUGGAGCGGAGAAGGAGAUCAGAAAAGUCAAUUUUACCUUCUGUUGCUCAUUAUAUGAAGAUUAAUGGGCACUUGGGCAAUGGACAGACUUUAAAAUAUAAUGUAUAUA
ensembl:lncRNA